AAAAGUUAAAGCAGCACUACUUACGUCAUGGAAAAUUGGUGUCUAUAGUCCAGUACAUUGUAUAAAGACCACAGUUGAAAAUGAACUACCUCCACCAGAAAAUAUAGAAGUCAGUGUCCAAAAUCAGAACUAUGUUCUUAAAUGGGAUUAUACAUAUGCAAACAUGACCUUUCAAGUUCAGUGGCUCCACGCCUUUUUAAAAAGGAAUCCUGGAAACCAUUUGUAUAAAUGGAAACAAAUACCUGACUGUGAAAAUGUCAAAACUACCCAGUGUGUCUUUCCUCAAAACGUUUUCCAAAAAGGAAUUUACCUUCUCCGCGUACAAGCAUCUGAUGGAAAUAACACAUCUUUUUGGUCUGAAGAGAUAAAGUUUGAUACUGAAAUACAAGCUUUCCUACUUCCUCCAGUCUUUAACAUUAGAUCCCUUAGUGAUUCAUUCCAUAUCUAUAUCGGUGCUCCAAAACAGUCUGGAAACACGCCUGUGAUCCAGGAUUAUCCACUGAUUUAUGAAAUUAUUUUUUGGGAAAACACUUCAAAUGCUGAGGUAAAAA
rnacentral:lncRNA from 1 species